AACGAACGCUGGCGGUAUGCUUAACACAUGCAAGUCGAACGAACAAAAUUGGGGCUUGCUCCAAUUUUAGUGAGUGGCAAACGGGUGAGUAACACGUGGGAAUCUACCUAUCAGUACGGAAUAACAUUUGGAAACAGAUGAUAAUACCGUAUAUUCUCCAAUGAGGAAAGAUUUAUCGCUGAGAGAUGAGCCCGCGUAAGAUUAGGUAGUUGGUAGGGUAAUGGCCUACCAAGCCGACGAUCGUUAGCUGGUGUGAGAGGAUGAUCAGCCACACUGGGACUGAGACACGGCCCAGACUCCUACGGGAGGCAGCAGUGGGGAAUAUUGGACAAUGGGCGAAAGCCUGAUCCAGCAAUACCGCGUGAAUGAUGAAGGCCUUAGGGUUGUAAAGUUCUUUUAGUUGGAAAGAUAAUGACGGUACCAACAGAAAAAGCCCCGGCUAACUCCGUGCCAGCCGCCGCAGUAA
rnacentral:rRNA from 1 species